AAAAAGCAAAAUAAAGACUUAAAAACAUAACAUAAAAAAUUAAAAUUAAAAAAAAAAACAGUAACAGAAGAAAUUAUGUAAAAUCGAUUCGGAAAACCACUCAACUAAAAAUUAUAUGUAGCGGAAGACCUCAACGACAAGAAACACUCAGACUUAAGUUCAUAUAAAGCAGCGUAGCACCGUGUGCGUUGCCGCAUUUUCACGCCUCUCUCCUCUCCCAUACACACACACAUACAUAUGCCUACACAGUUUUCAGUUUAUUUGCCAGCAUGUAAAACCUAGCUAGUCUCUAUAUAAAAAAUAAUGGAACGAGGAAAUUGUUGAAAACUUGAACGGAGAAAAUGCGGUGCCGUCACGUGCACAAUCGGCGGUUAGCGCCGGGUCUUUCACAUGAAUUGCAAGUUCGUAAACCAAGCUAAGUCAAGUAACUUAAACGAUUUGGUGUUUUCCAACACAGUUGUGAACUAUAAAGUUUAGUACAUAUUUUUUAAAUAAAAUCUAUAAAACGAAAAAAAAAAUUAAAUGAAGUAAAAAGAACCGUGUAAGAACUCAAGCUACUAAAAAUUUUUCUCAAGGUAAAUCAAGCAUAUAUCUAACAAGAGAUGAUAAAUAUAUAUAUAUAUAUACAUUUAUAUACAGACGAAAACUUAUAAUGUUAACUUUUAGACCUUCUAAACAAACACAGAAACAUGCCUGCAUCAGAAACUGAAAAUUACUUUCAUAAUUCGCAUAAAUAAACACAAUUCACAUUUAUGUAAUUAUUUAUAACAUUGAUUUGUGUACGCAAAUUUUUAAUAUAUAUGUUUGAACUCUUUACCAACUCGAUUAGUAAAUUUAAAUUUUUGUUUAGCUUUGAACAUAUCAUUUGCGCCGUUAAUUGCGCUCUAACUAAAUCUUAGAUUAUUUUUUCUGGUUUAUGUUUAUUAUUGUUUUUUUUUUAGUGUACCAGAAAGUAACGUUGGCACUGUUAUCGGGGCGUUAAGCAAUUUAUAGAACAUUUUUAAAUUUAACAAAAUGUUAGUGUUCAAAUCUUAGCUCAAAAACAGUGUUAAAAGUGCUUGCAAAAUAACGGAGGAAAAAAUGAAAGAAGAAACAAAAAAAGAAAAAAAGUAAAAUAAAUGAAAUAUACAAAACGAUAUAUGCAAGUAUCGUUCAUGCUCAUUUCUAAGUAAUACAACUAUAAAAAAAAUAAACAGUUUGUAAAAAUAAAAUACAAGAAUAAAUCUAAUUUAAUUUAUAGGUAUACAAUUACGAAUAGUUGUAAAUCAAAAGUAAAAUUGAAAAAUUGGGUAUGCUUACCAGAAAAGUCUUUGGAAACUGAUUUUCAUAAUUGAACUUUGUACUCUAUAAACGUAUUAAGAAUGCAAACCAAGAGUAAAUGCAU